AUUGAACGCUGGCGGCAGGCCUAACACAUGCAAGUCGAGCGAGCGGCGGACGGGUGAGUAUUGUCUGGGAAACUGCCUGAUGGAGGGGGAGAUCAACUGGAAACGGUAGCUAAUACCGCAUACCCUCAGAUGUGCCCCGAUGGGAGUAGCUGGUAGGUGGGGUAACGGCUCACCUAGGCGACGUUCACUAGCUGGUCUGAGAGGAUGACCAGCCACACUGGAACUGAGACACGGUCCAGACUCCUACGGGAGGCAGCAGUGGGGAAUAUUGCACAAUGGGCGCAAGCCUGAUGCAGCCAUGCCGCGUGUGUGAAGAAGGCCUUCGGGUUGUAAAGCACUUUCGGCAGGGAGGCGUUACCCGCAGAAGAAGCACCGGCUAACUCCGUGCCAGCAGCCGCGGUAAUAC
rnacentral:rRNA from 1 species